UACGUAGGGGGCAAGCGUUGUCCGGAAUCAUUGGGCGUAAAGCGCGUGUAGGCGGUUCAGUAAGUCUGCUGUGAAAGUCCAGGGCUCAACCCUGGGAUGCCGGUGGAUACUGCUGGACUAGAGUGCGGAAGAGGCGAGUGGAAUUCCCGGUGUAGCGGUGAAAUGCGCAGAUAUCGGGAGGAACACCAGUGGCGAAGGCGACUACCUGGCCUGUUCUUGACGCUGAGGCGCGAAAGCUAGGGGAGCAAACGGG
rnacentral:rRNA from 1 species